CAUAGCCACAGCCCCCGGCCGCGGGCGGGGAACCGGCGGCUCCGCCUCUCAGCGGGGAGGGCGCUGAGGGGACCGGGCACAACCCGCCGCGCCUGUCACCUCGACACCCUGCACCGCUCGUGCCGGGAAACAACAGGCGAGCGGGGUAGCUACAGCCGGCGCGGCAGGAAGAGGAGGGGCAAGCGGGCAGAGGCGCGGCACGGUCCCAACGGGUGGCUCAGCCGGCUCUCGCCGGGCCGCAGGGUCACUUCUGCCCCCGCUGCUGGCCCGGCCCGGGCAGAGGGUGUUACUGGAGCGGCCCCGGGAGCAUAGCAAGGAAACGGAACUUGACUGGCUGCACUGCCUUGAUCCGCUUUGGAAAUUAUGAGCUACUUGACUAGUGAGUAACAGUGUAAUGGAACAGACAUAAAGGUGUCAGAAGGCCUUUUUAACUAGCGUCUUGUUUCCAAAAGUAACCAUGAGUGGGUACCAAGGAAACAAGGGAGAACUCCACAGGCAUAUAUAAUAUUUUCCUGGAUAUUCUCCCAUCUUACAACCAGAUGACAUCCUCAGCUGAAUGCUUUGGGGUUGGUGUCCCCCUGUCUUUUUACCCUCUAUUGGUAGAUUGCUCUACCAUUAGUUUCCCUGACCUCUGUGACUUUACAUCAGCUCCUGCCUUUGGCACCAAGUACUACAGUCUACCACCAUUUUUAGGAAGCAUCUUCCUGGCACAUGUUGAAGUUGCGGCCUGGUAGCUCCAGCAGCAGCCACCCUUGAUCUUGUAUGAAAGUAGACAGUGACCAUCAGUUCCAGCACUUACUGUCUGCCUCCACAUGAGCCUCGAAGGAGGCUGCUCAGAGCAGAGCCUUUCCCAGCCUCCCAGACCACUGUUUACUUGCCUGCAAAAGCAUCUUGCUGAUCACUUGGGAGGAAGGUAAUGCUGGGUGGUGGCAGCUUGUUGUGAGUGGAUGCUGCAGGGAACAGGUCUGCCUGUGGUGACAUGCCUCAGAGAAGUCCUUGUAUUGCUUCCUCUUCUAUCUGCCAGGGACAGGUUUGAUAGCUUUUUCUUAUGUGUAAUAUGAACAUCUAAAAGGAUUGCUUGUACCUAAUAAUAGGUGUCCAUCUGCAUCUUAGUAUAUUUUAGUAAGUAUCAGGUAUAAAGCCCUACCAGUGAUAAAUGUUUCCUUCUUAAUACGCACUUUCUACAGUAUUUUUCAUUUAAUGAUCUUAACUUUCUGACUGAACUUAUCUUACGGGCUUGCUAAUUUGAGACUAGCUAGGAUGAAACUGAAGAUAUUCAAUAACCUUUGUAAAUGUUUGCUUCAUGUGUUUCUCAGGAAGCUUCACAAGCCAAUUAUUUCAGUUUCCAUAGUGAGCUGGGUUUGAUGUCUUUGUCGUUCAACAUGCAUCCUGUUAGGAGUUGUCAUUAACUCCGUUGUCUUCUUUGUUCUGCAUGGUGCCAAGCACUUUGACAGAGCCCAAAUCAAAACGAAGUAUCCAUGGAUGGCUUUUAGCCUUAAUUCCAGGUUUAGCUGGCAUGGAUGAAACUGCCAACAGAUCAAAAGAAUGCAGGAGCUUUUUAUUUCCCUCGUGGUUUCAGAAGGCUUUAGUGUCUAUGUUAUCCAGACUGGCUCUUAGCACUUAGUCUAGAAACCUCUAUGUCCUGCUAUAAAACAUUAUUUUCUGAGGCUAGGAAAAGCUACAAUUACUAAAUGUCCAAAAUAAAUAGUUAACAUUGUUCAUGCUUGAGAUUUGUUUUAAUGCAAUAGAACAAAUUCUGUGGAACAGCGGAAAAUAUACCACAAGCAUUGAAGUACCAAAAUAAUACAAUUCCAGAUGAAAAGCAAUACUAAUCCUGAUGGAUUGGAACCAUAAAUUACAUAUUUGGAGAACAUUCUUGGAAACAAUCAGUCUAUGGCUGUAAGUACAGCUCUGCUUCUACCACCUACAACUACCUCCCCCUCCCCUAUACCCUUAUUCCUGGCCUGGAACAUGUGAAAUGAGACGAUACUACUCCACCAGAGAGGCAGAAUAGCAGCAAAGGAUCUUCUGCCUCCAUCAGGAGAUUCAUCUUUGCUUCUACCUGAAGCAGAUGCCUAUAGAAGUUGUUAGCAGUUGAAACCAGGGUACAUCCAACCAAUGCCAGACCUGAACCUGCUGCACUCCUGUGACUUGUGUGUUUUGUGCCAUAUAGCUAGCAGGAGAUGCUGUCUGCAGGGUGGUACAUCCGUUAGACACCCAUCUGGGAAUAUGACUGAGCUUCAGGUAAACUGCUGUUUCAAGGAGACACCCAUGUAUUUAAUAUUGUCAGGUCAUAUUCCCAUGUUUUUCUUAGGAGCCACUUAGGCUAAAACUUGUCUUUUUUACAUCUGAAGCUCUAACAUAAAGGGGUGACUCCUGCAUGCCUUUAGAACAGGUUUAUGUGUUUUCCAUCCCUGUAUCUGCAUGUGCAAGACAACUACAUUUCCUCUCCAGCCUUCAUCUACAGGGAAAACCUAGUGAAAGCACAGCUCUGUGUGCUCUUCCCUGACUGCUCUGCAACACCUCUGUGGUAGGCAGAGAGAGUAUCUCUGGGGGGUUCUGGCUCACCUGGCUCCUCCUGUACUUCCCAGUUUCCAGUCCCAAGACUACCUACAAGCCUUGUCCCCAGAAGUAAGAUGAGUGGGUGUAUCCCAGAGCAUGUUUUAUAUCAUAAGUAAAUAUAA